rnacentral:tmRNA from 12 species
GGGGCUGAAUGGGUUCGACAUUUAAAUUAAUACCUCAGUUCUAAUACAAACAUCGAAGUUUAAUAAUUUAAAAAAUAAACGCAAACAAUAUUAUUAGUUUUAAUCGAGUAUCUGCUUUUUGCUAAAUAAAAAUUUUGCAUAAAGAAUUAUCAGAAAAACUUUAUUAACCGACUCAUAAUGGUAUAAAUGAGUUUGGUAAGUUGUAUUUACUUGCUCUAAAAAAGUUAAGGUUUUAAUAUAUAUCAAUUUUAAUAGUUUUUUAUAAUAGAAAGAUUCUUUUAUAAAAUAAGUUUGUGAAAAAAGAUAUGGUAUAGUUAUAAUUGGAAGUGGGUUCAAAUCCCACCAGCUCCA